GACGAACGCUGGCGGCGUGCUUAACACAUGCAAGUCGAACGGAAAGGCCCUGCUUUUGUUGGGUGCUCGAGUGGCGAACGGGUGAGUAACACGUGAGUAACCCGCACCUGACUUUGGGAUAACUUCAGGAAACUGGGGCUAUUACCGGAUAUGAGCUCCUGCUGCAUGGGGUGGGUAGGAAAGUUUCGGUGGUGCUGGCUGGACUCGCGGCUUCCCAGCUUGUUUGUGGGGUAGUGACUUACCAAGGGUAUGACGGGUAGCCGGCAUGGGCGGGUGACCGGCCACAUUGGGACUACGAUAGGGCCCAGAAGCCUACGGGCGGCAGCAGGCGGGAAUAUUGCACAAUGGGGGGAAGCCUGAGGCGGCAGCCCCGCGUGCGGAAUGACGGCCUAUGGGGUGUAAACCGCUUUCGCAGGUGACGAGGCGUGAGUGACGGUAAUGGGUAAAGAAGCACCGGCUAACUACGUG
rnacentral:rRNA from 1 species